UUCCAUGGUCACACUGUCACCAUCACAUGAUUAACUUGUUAUUCUGUAAAAAUGGAGGAGCUUUGGAGAGACAGGAUGCAGCUGUUCACUGGGCAUCUGCAGUUAGGAACCAGAGAGAGAUGAAUGCUGGGUCUCAGCUUUGGAUUUGUAAUAACAUCUAGGACCCCAUCCCUGAAAAUGGUGCCACCAGCAGUGCGUCUUCCCACCACAAUGAACCCAAUCAAGGCCACCUCUCAGAGGCAUGCCCAGAGGCUUGUCCCUGGUGCGAUUCUGGAUCACUAGGCUGCUUUAGGAUUGCACUGUGAACUGCUAUGGGUGAGAGAUUGCUCCCCUCUGCACACAGCUGAGGCCAGGAACAGGGUAGGGUCAGUGGGUGAAAAAUGUCUAAGAGGAAAACCGAGGGCCAAGGAGUUGAGGCUAAACCAACUUAACAGGAUUCUGACUGCAGACAGGCAGGUGACCAGCCCUCAUGUGAGAGAAGGUGGAGCCUGAUCCGACGUGCUGGUGUAGCAGCUGCUGUCGAAGAGGUCAGGAGUUACCAGUACGAACUUGGAGAAUGCCUGUUUCUGAUGGCUGGAAUUCUCAUUUGGAAUGCACAGCAGACUCCAACCCACCAGAUAGGAAAUGAAGAGCUUUGAUACCCAACAAUACUGAUCUUUCCAACAGCGAUGAAGGGAUGGAUCCUUUGCCUAUUUUCAAGAUGAGGUGAUGGAGGUUGGGGAGCCCAGUGAUGGGAGCCUGGGGCUAGCUAAACCUCUGAGCUGACAUCUUGAUCACAACCAUGGUCCUGCCAUGACAGUAUUUAAGGAAGAUGGAUUCGCUCCUCGCCCUUUGGCUAAAGAGAAAGAAGAGGAUGGUGUUUACCUGGGAGACGAUCUGUCAACUUCCUACCCACUUCCAAGGAGACACAGAGACAUUUGGCGUGAUGGGGCCUUCUGGAGCACUCACACAGUCUUCAUAUCUUUCCUGGUCCCCUCUUACCCAGACUGCCUGAUGCCAUGCCAGGGGUUAAUGCCUGGGGACAGAUCGCUUCAGUACCCCCUUUUCGGCAGCCACCACCCUCAGAAAUAGAGUUCUGAUAGCCACACAGCAUUGCUGCCAGGAAAAGGAGGCCCUUCACCUGUGAGUUAAAGACAAAGUGACACCCUCCCUCCCCUGGCUACUGGGGUUGGCUGCGCUCUGGGACUGUGCAGCCUUUGUGAGCACCACACCUCUCAGUGAAACACGAAGUCAGGCUCUAGUAAACACACCGCUGACUGAGUACACAGGGAGUUUCCAGUUCAUUUCUCCGCAUUA